CCUACGGGUGGCUGCAGUCGAGAAUCAUUCACAAUGGGGGAAACCCUGAUGGUGCGACGCCGCGUGGGGGAAUGAAGGUCUUCGGAUUGUAAACCCCUGUCAUGUGGGAGCAAAUUAAAAAGAUAGUACCACAAGAGGAAGAGACGGCUAACUCUGUGCCAGCAGCCGCGGUAAUACGGAGGAUGCGAGCGUUAUCCGGAUUUAUUGGGUUUAAAGGGUGCGUAGGCGGAUUUUUAAGUCAGCGGUAAAAUGUCCGGGCUCAACCCGGGCCGGCCGUUGAAACUGGGGAUCUUGAGUGGGCGAGAAGUAUGCGGAAUGCGUGGUGUAGCAGUGAAAUGCGUAGAUAUCGAGAGGAACACUCGUGGCGAAGGCGGGUUCCUGGACAUUAACUGACGCUGAGGCACGAAGGCCAGGGGAGCGAAAGGGAUUAGAUACCCGGGUAGUC
rnacentral:rRNA from 1 species